rnacentral:misc_RNA from 1 species
AAGACUAUAGACCUGCGGAGUACCUGCGGAAGGAUCAUUACCGAGUUAUACAACUCCCAAACCCACUGUGAACCUUACCUCAGUUGCCUCGGCGGGACCGCCCCGGCCGCCGCGCAAGCGGCGCCGGACUCCAAGGCGCCCGCCGCAGGGACCCAAAACUCUUUUGCAUUACGCCCAACGGCGGGAAUUUUUUCUCUGAGUGCAUAAGCAAAACAAAUGAAUCAAAACUUUCAGCAACGG